rnacentral:misc_RNA from 1 species
ACCAAUUGGAGGCCUACGAUUCAUUCCAAUGGUGUCCAGAGGUGGAAAUGCAGCACCAGUACCCCCACAAUUGUCCUGCAUGGACACCUGUGGGUUCAGGGUAGGAGGUCUGGCCCAACCUUCGUAGGCAAACCCAGGCACCCCGUGAUGGAAAGGGUAUCGAUAAGGUGGUCUAUGAAUCAAGGAGUACAUGCUAAUGCCAUGACUGGGAAAUACUCCUGUGGCUGCUGCAAAUGGAUACAAGGAAGCAUCCAUGAAUCCAUAAGGGACUAAAUCUAGUCCUUUCUCUCUUCUCUGCAAUGCUCGUUCACGUUUGUGAGCAUUUUGAUGCCCACCUAAUGCUUGAGAGUUGGAGAAUUUCUUGUUGCAGUAUUUACAAACGAACUGUCGUUUUGUCUUCUUGGCAUUCUCAUUCCCUUGAGUUGCUGAUUCCAAAGCCUUUGCAGAACCAUGAUCAAAAACACCAAACAAAUUCAGCUCUAGCUUGGAUUCAUCAGCUUCAUUAUUGAAAAGCUUAAGAUCAAGCAAGGGAUCUGUCUCCACAGGUUUUCUCAUGGGUUCUUCUUGGACCUUCCCUUUCAUUUUUUUGUCAUCAACAUCUCUGUGUAAG